rnacentral:tRNA from 1 species
UGGCUCAGAGGUUAAAGCAUCUGCCUGCAAUGCAGGAGACCUAGGUCCGAUCCCUGG